rnacentral:tRNA from 3 species
CCCCAGUUGGUGCAGUUGGUUAGCACAUUGUCUUGGUCAGGCAAAUACAAAGGCCACGAGUUCAUAUCUUGUACUGGGGA